GGUGGCUCAGUGGUAGAGUGCUUGCUUCAUAUGCCUGAGGCCCUGAGUUCGAUUCCUCAGCACCA
rfam:Dipodomys ordii contig_758, whole genome shotgun sequence.